UUAAGCGACUAAGCGUACACGGUGGAUGCCCUGGCAGUCAGAGGCGAUGAAGGACGUGCUAAUCUGCGAUAAGCGUCGGUGAGGUGAUAUGAACCGUUAUAACCGGCGAUUUCCGAAUGGGGAAACCCAGUGUGUUUCGACACACUAUCAUUAACUGAAUCCAUAGGUUAAUGAGGCGAACCGGGGGAACUGAAACAUCUAAGUACCCCGAGGAAAAGAAAUCAACCGAGAUUCCCCCAGUAGCGGCGAGCGAACGGGGAGGAGCCCAGAGCCUGAAUCAGUGUGUGUGUUAGUGGAAGCGUCUGGAAAGGCGCGCGAUACAGGGUGACAGCCCCGUACACAAAAAUGCACAUAUUGUGAGCUCGAUGAGUAGGGCGGGACACGUGGUAUCCUGUCUGAAUAUGGGGGGACCAUCCUCCAAGGCUAAAUACUCCUGACUGACCGAUAGUGAACCAGUACCGUGAGGGAAAGGCGAAAAGAACCCCGGCGAGGGGAGUGAAAAAGAACCUGAAACCGUGUACGUACAAGCAGUGGGAGCCUCUUAAUGGGGUGACUGCGUACCUUUUGUAUAAUGGGUCAGCGACUUAUAUUCUGUAGCAAGGUUAACCGAAUAGGGGAGCCGAAGGGAAACCGAGUCUUAACUGGGCGUUAAGUUGCAGGGUAUAGACCCGAAACCCGGUGAUCUAGCCAUGGGCAGGUUGAAGGUUGGGUAACACUAACUGGAGGACCGAACCGACUAAUGUUGAAAAAUUAGCGGAUGACUUGUGGCUGGGGGUGAAAGGCCAAUCAAACCGGGAGAUAGCUGGUUCUCCCCGAAAGCUAUUUAGGUAGCGCCUCGUGAAUUCAUCUCCGGGGGUAGAGCACUGUUUCGGCAAGGGGGUCAUCCCGACUUACCAACCCGAUGCAAACUGCGAAUACCGGAGAAUGUUAUCACGGGAGACACACGGCGGGUGCUAACGUCCGUCGUGAAGAGGGAAACAACCCAGACCGCCAGCUAAGGUCCCAAAGUCAUGGUUAAGUGGGAAACGAUGUGGGAAGGCCCAGACAGCCAGGAUGUUGGCUUAGAAGCAGCCAUCAUUUAAAGAAAGCGUAAUAGCUCACUGGUCGAGUCGGCCUGCGCGGAAGAUGUAACGGGGCUAAACCAUGCACCGAAGCUGCGGCAGCGACGCUUAUGCGUUGUUGGGUAGGGGAGCGUUCUGUAAGCCUGUGAAGGUGUGCUGUGAGGCAUGCUGGAGGUAUCAGAAGUGCGAAUGCUGACAUAAGUAACGAUAAAGCGGGUGAAAAGCCCGCUCGCCGGAAGACCAAGGGUUCCUGUCCAACGUUAAUCGGGGCAGGGUGAGUCGACCCCUAAGGCGAGGCCGAAAGGCGUAGUCGAUGGGAAACAGGUUAAUAUUCCUGUACUUGGUGUUACUGCGAAGGGGGGACGGAGAAGGCUAUGUUGGCCGGGCGACGGUUGUCCCGGUUUAAGCGUGUAGGCUGGUUUUCCAGGCAAAUCCGGAAAACCAAGGCUGAGGCGUGAUGACGAGGCACUACGGUGCUGAAGCGACAAAUGCCCUGCUUCCAGGAAAAGCCUCUAAGCAUCAGGUAACAUCAAAUCGUACCCCAAACCGACACAGGUGGUCAGGUAGAGAAUACCAAGGCGCUUGAGAGAACUCGGGUGAAGGAACUAGGCAAAAUGGUGCCGUAACUUCGGGAGAAGGCACGCUGAUAUGUAGGUGAAGCGACUUGCUCGUGGAGCUGAAAUCAGUCGAAGAUACCAGCUGGCUGCAACUGUUUAUUAAAAACACAGCACUGUGCAAACACGAAAGUGGACGUAUACGGUGUGACGCCUGCCCGGUGCCGGAAGGUUAAUUGAUGGGGUUAGCGGUAACGCGAAGCUCUUGAUCGAAGCCCCGGUAAACGGCGGCCGUAACUAUAACGGUCCUAAGGUAGCGAAAUUCCUUGUCGGGUAAGUUCCGACCUGCACGAAUGGCGUAAUGAUGGCCAGGCUGUCUCCACCCGAGACUCAGUGAAAUUGAACUCGCUGUGAAGAUGCAGUGUACCCGCGGCAAGACGGAAAGACCCCGUGAACCUUUACUAUAGCUUGACACUGAACAUUGAGCCUUGAUGUGUAGGAUAGGUGGGAGGCUUUGAAGUGUGGACGCCAGUCUGCAUGGAGCCGACCUUGAAAUACCACCCUUUAAUGUUUGAUGUUCUAACGUGGGCCCCUAAUCGGGGUUGCGGACAGUGUCUGGUGGGUAGUUUGACUGGGGCGGUCUCCUCCUAAAGAGUAACGGAGGAGCACGAAGGUUGGCUAAUCCUGGUCGGACAUCAGGAGGUUAGUGCAAUGGCAUAAGCCAGCUUGACUGCGAGCGUGACGGCGCGAGCAGGUGCGAAAGCAGGUCAUAGUGAUCCGGUGGUUCUGAAUGGAAGGGCCAUCGCUCAACGGAUAAAAGGUACUCCGGGGAUAACAGGCUGAUACCGCCCAAGAGUUCAUAUCGACGGCGGUGUUUGGCACCUCGAUGUCGGCUCAUCACAUCCUGGGGCUGAAGUAGGUCCCAAGGGUAUGGCUGUUCGCCAUUUAAAGUGGUACGCGAGCUGGGUUUAGAACGUCGUGAGACAGUUCGGUCCCUAUCUGCCGUGGGCGCUGGAGAACUGAGGGGGGCUGCUCCUAGUACGAGAGGACCGGAGUGGACGCAUCACUGGUGUUCGGGUUGUCAUGCCAAUGGCACUGCCCGGUAGCUAAAUGCGGAAGAGAUAAGUGCUGAAAGCAUCUAAGCACGAAACUUGCCCCGAGAUGAGUUCUCCCUGAGACUUAGAGUCUCCUGAAGGAACGUUGAAGACGACGACGUUGAUAGGCCGGGUGUGUAAGCGCAGCGAUGCGUUGAGCUAACCGGUACUAAUGAACCGUGAGGCUUAACCUU
rnacentral:rRNA from 2 species